rnacentral:rRNA from 1 species
UACGAAGGGGGCUAGCGUUGUUCGGAAUUACUGGGCGUAAAGCGCACGUAGGCGGAUAUUUAAGUCAGGGGUGAAAAUCCCCAGAGCUCAACUCUGGAACUGCCUUUGAUACUGGGUAUCUUGAGUAUGGAAGAGGUAAGUGGAAUUGCGAGUGUAGAGGUGAAAUUCGUAGAUAUUCGCAGGAACACCAGUGGCGAAGGCGGCUUACUGGUCCAUAACUGACGCUGAGGUGCGAAAGCGUGGGGAGCAACAGGAG